rnacentral:lncRNA from 1 species
AAGCACAGCGUCAGCGUGACAUAAGCACAGGGUCAGCGUGACAUAAGCACAGCGUCAGCGUGGCCCAGUUACGCACCUGACAGAGACAUGGCAUGCAGGGAGAGGCAAAAAAUGGCAAAAAAUACAGCUAAGAUGGAGUCAGGCUAACACAAGAAAUAACACAAAGAUCAAUAACCGGAAGGAAGCCAGAGGGAUGAAAAUACAUGGUGGAUGAGGCUUGUUUUGCACAAGGCAAGGAAAAGAAUAUUUA